AUGGCAGGUGAAGAAAACGAGUAUGAUGUUGAAGGAAAUGGGCAUCUCAAUCAGCCCGUCACACGGUUUCACUUCAAUGCAUUACGUGAUCAUCUACGCCGAGAGUUCAGAAACAGCCUUGACCCAAUUGAAGAGAAGCAAGACAAGUUGUCGAGAGAUUUGGAGCAACUUAUGGGUAAUGUUGAUGAGCAACUCACUCAGAACAUGGCAGCCAUGAGGACUGGUAUUGUUGUUGAUAUUGUGUGAGAGCUUUGUCAGAACCGAGAAGAUGCAAGUGUCCGUGGUGAAGAACAAAAUGUAACUGAUGGGGAAGGUGCUGCCUCCAAUGCACAAGCUAGAAGAAACCAUGCUCCUACUCCCCAUGCCAUGAGACCUCCCGGUCCCGGACAUGGAAAUGAUCAUGGUAAUGGACGUGGUCAUCAUGAAGCUGCUGCUGGUCGUGGUCUUAGAGGAGGCCACCGAAGAGCAAAUCUGCACCAUGAAGGUAGUGGAGAUGAGUUUGAUGAAGAUGAAGAUGGCAUGCACCAGAAUGACAGAUUUCAUCAUCAUAGAAACUAUGGUCGUGGACGGCAGGAGGAGGAGAGGUUU
rnacentral:rRNA from 1 species